UAGCAUCCCUGUUUUCUGAGACUGUUCACUCUGAAAUUGCUUGUUGAAUAGAUGGAGUCUCCGUAAACUGCUGGCAAAGCUUGGGAUAUCUUCUCAGACUAGGCCUGGCCUGUUUGUGCUUUUCAUCUGCAAAGGAGGUUUGUUGGAAUUGGCCUACAUGGAUGUAUAAAGGUUGCAGAAGCAGGAAAACACAGGAAUUACUGCUGGACCUGAAAGAUAAAGCUGCAGAUUUUAGGACAGCUGUGUUCAUGUUGGACAUUUGCUUUCAGGAUUAUUUGUAUUGUGCCAUGCUAAGGGCAGCUAUAGCCCUAUGGAAUCAUGGUACUGUGAAGCUGUAUGGGAAUUCAGGAGAUUGGUGCUUCAUGACCUACACUGAGCUGAUCAGCUGUAUCCUAGACCAUCCUCAAUGCAAAUAUUGUUCUAAAACAGAAAGGGCGUAUGAGAAGAAAAUACAUAUGAAUAUAUUGGUGGAAACUAUACAAAAGAAUACAAAAGAAUACAAAAAGUAAAUACUCCAUUCAGAUUGAUAUGCUGGAGAAAAAUCAGCCAAACCUCUAUAUCUGAUGUGGUGUUUCACAAAGCUACUGGAGAUACUAGAGGUCAAUGGACAAGGGUCACCCAGUGUUUACAGACUUCUAUAUCUGUCUUCAGAUGGACACAUAACUAUAAACACUGCUGAAGAUGUGGAUAUGUAAUGUAUUUAUACAACAGAAAAAUAAUAUUUUAUAUUCUUGA